AAUCCGAGAAUUUCACCUCUAGCGCCGCAAUACGAAUGCCCCCGUCUGUCCCUAUUAAUCAUUACCUCAGAUUCCGAAGACCAACAAAAUAGAACCGAGGUCCUAUUCCAUUAUUCCAUGCAAGAUUAUUCGGGCGUUACGCCUGCUUUGAGCACUCUAAUUUGUUCAAAGUAAACGUACAGAUCGCUCAUGACACCCGGUAAAGAGCAUCACAAGACAAAUCUGUAGGCUGUUCAGCUAUGCAGUAACCGCCGGCAAGCGGACCACAUAGCAUGAACUGAGAUCCAACUACGAGCUUUUUAACCGCAACAACUUUAAUAUACGCUAUUGGAGCUGGAAUUACCGCU
rnacentral:misc_RNA from 1 species